rnacentral:rRNA from 1 species
CCUACGGGUCGCAGCAGUGGGGAAUAUUGGACAAUGGGCGCAAGCCUGAUCCAGCCAUGCCGCGUGAGUGAAGAAGGCCAUAGGGUUGUAAAGCUCUUUCACCGGUGAAGGUAAUGACGGUAACCGGAGAAGAAGCCCCGGCUAACUUCGUGCCAGCAGCCGUGGUAAUACGAAGGGGGCUAGCGUUGUUCGGAAUUACUGGGCGUAAAGCGCGCGUAGGCGGAUAGAUAAGUCAGAGGUGAAAUCCCGGGGCUCAACCCCGGAAUUGCCUUUGCUACUGUUUAUCUUGAGUGCAGAAGAGGUAAGUGGAAUUCCGAGUGUAGAGGUGAAAUUCGUAGAUAUUCGGAGGAACACCAGUGGCGAAGGCGGCUUACUGGUCUGCAACUGACGCUGAGGCGCGAAAGCGUGGGGAGCAAACAGGAUUAGAUACCCCGGUAGUC